GAUGAACGCGAGCGGCAGGCCUAAUACAUGCAAGUCGAACGGUGGAGGGGGACAUAGUGGCGCACGGGGGGGGAAAAGGGAUGCAACCUACCUUACAUUGGGGGAUAGCCUGCCGAAAGGGAGAUUAAUACCGCAUAAGACAGUAGAGGGGAACCCAGCAGCUGUUAAAGAUUUAUCGAGGAAAGCGGGGCAUGCGUCCAAUUAGCUAGUUGGUGAGGUAACGGCUCACCAAGGCAAUGAUUGGUAGGGGAACUGAGAGGUCAAUCCCCCACACUGGCACUGAGAUACGGGCCAGACUCCUACGGGAGGCAGCAGUAGGGAAUAUUGGGCAAUGGACGCAAGUCUGACCCAGCCAUGCCGCGUGCAGGAUGAAGGCGUUCUGCGUUGUAAACUGCUUUUAUACAGGAAGAAACGCCUCUUGCGAGAGGCAUUGACGGUACUGUAUGAAUAAGCCCCGGCUAACUUCGUGCCCCCCGCCGCGGUAAUAC
rnacentral:rRNA from 1 species